AUGGUUCCAGUUGAAGGGGAAGAGAAAGAAAAGGCCAAGUGCAACUAUUGUGGAGAUUUAUUUAUUUACAAACAAGGGGGGCAGACUACUAGUCUUAAUAGGCACAAUGACUUAUGUCCAGCAUAUCGAGCAUUCAUGAGGGGAAAAUCACAAGGUCAAGAUACACUCAACUUCGAGCCGGAUUCAUCACUUACAUCUGUUUGCACUGAAUAUAAUCCUGAAGAAACCCGUAAUAUCAUUGCUAAGAUGGUAAUUGUGCAUGAUUAA
rnacentral:rRNA from 1 species